AUAGGAUGAUCUUUCCUUGCUGAAUAGACAACAUAUAGGAUAAGAACGUGUAUGAUGCUGAUUUUGGUGGUUUGGACAUGGAUUUGAGGGUGGAGAAUGGCCACAUAAAGGAGGCAUUCAGGACUGAUCUCCUAGGUUGGUGGAUCUGCGACGUUCCGGUUCCUGCUGUUGGUCAGCCGUUUCUUUGGUCGAGAGAUGGGUUAACUUGUUGCCGGCGGUGUCGUCCCACUGGUAGGGUUCCAGCAAGAUGCUCAAGAAAUUUCUCAUGAAAGUGGAUGAGUAACGUCAUGGCCAGGAUCUUCAAAGGGCCAAUGUUGCAUAGCCUUUACCCACUCUGCACUGCCGUAACAUCUCAAGCGACUACUCCCGGUACAUCUUGUGUUGAUCACGAGCAACACCAAGAGAGAUGUCUGGACUAUUUGCAUGCAGAUUACCUCCAGCAGGCCUUCUCAAGCUGAUGAAAUUGGUUCCUUCCAUUUGUUAGCUGGACAGCUAUAGCUGCACAAUGCAAGGGUGAGACUACCAACCGGUGUAGGACAAGGUAUGCACAAGGCGUUGCGGGAAGAGGUAGUCAAAGGAGAUAGAUAUGUAGACGGCACAAUGUAGGCCAAGCGCUAGGGAUGAGGAUAUGGCGUGGCGUGAAGAGGUAGUCCACAAACCUCUGUUCAUUUUCCUGCCUGCUCAUUUUCCGGUCCGGUCCGUUCCCCCCUCAUGGCGCCCGUGUUCGUGUCUCCUGGCCUGACGUAUGUGCGUGUGUGGUUCUUCUGCAGCUCGCGGCGAGGAUUGCUGUGUCCAACCUCCCGCCAAGAGGAAAUAGUCUGUGUGGUGCUUGUAAAUAGAGAGUAUUCUGGUAGAAAGGUACAUGAAAGAAUAGGGAAACUUCUGUCAUUUUCUUUGGUCUCUGAAAAAUAAAUGGUGAUAUGGGCUGA